AGGAUAUUAAAUAUUUUUCCUUGGUUGAAAAAAAAAAGAAAUUAAUUUUUUAUUAUUUUUUAACUUCCAACGAUUUUUGUUUGCACAUGAACCCGCAAGGGUUCUUAUUGAUUUCGCAAUUAAAUUCAUCUUUUAAAUGUUCCGGGCUUUGGCGGGGUUUUGUUUCCCCCAUCCCAGUAGGCGGGUCGAACAAUCUACU
rnacentral:rRNA from 1 species